AUUUCAACCCGGUGCCGCCGAAUACUAGGAUUAUUUAUACUGCUCUGCUUCCACCGACGUUUGCCUAUUGAUCGAUUUUAAAGGCAGCCAUUGUAGGAUUUUCUAAAUCCCGGCGAAAGAGAAAUCUAUUGAUACUUUUGUAAUCCGUCCUUAAACAGUGAUUAUUGGUGAUAUACCAGUUACUAGUUAUAUAUAUCCUCAGCUGAACGAACCACGUUGUUUGGUUCGUUCAGAAGCAAGAAGGCAACUUAAUGUGUUGUGACAUA